CCAAUAUCGUAUACUAAAGUUGUUGCAGUUAAAAAGCUCGUAGUUGAAUUUCGGGAUCAAGGAGUCGGUCAUGCCUUGGUAUGUACUGGUUUUAUUGGUUCUCACCUUCUAAAGAACCAUAAUGUCAUUUAUUUGAUGUUAUGGGGAAUUAGGACUGUUACCUUGAAAAAAUUAGAGUGUUUAAAGCAAGCUUACGCUUGAAUACAUUAGCAUGGAAUAAUGAAAUAGGACAUCAGAUUCUAUUUUGUUGGUUUCUAGGAUCGAUGUAAUGAUUAAUAGGGAUAGUUGGGGGCAUUAGUAUUCAAUUGUCAGAGGUGAAAUUCUUGGAUUUAUUGAAGACUAACUACUGCGAAAGCAUUUGCCAAGGAUGUUUUCAUUAAUCAAGAACGAAAGUUAGGGGAUCGAAGACGAUCAGAUACCGUCGUAGUCUUAACCAUAAACUAUGCCGACUAGGGAUCGGAUGAUGUUAAUUUUUUAAUGACUCAUUCGGCGCCUUACG
rnacentral:rRNA from 1 species